UACGGAGGGUGCAAACGUUGCUCGGAAUCAUUGGGCGUAAAGCGCACGUAGGCGGCUCGUUAAGUCGGAUGUGAAAGCCCUGGGCUCAACCCAGGAACUGCCUUUGAAACUGUCGGGCUUGAGGCCGGGAGAGGGUAGUGGAAUUCCCAGUGUAGCGGUGAAAUGCGUAGAUAUUGGGAGGAACACCAGUGGCGAAGGCGGCUACCUGGACCGGUUCUGACGCUGAGGCGCGAAAGCGUGGGUAGCAAACAGG
rnacentral:rRNA from 1 species